rnacentral:rRNA from 1 species
UACGUAGGGUGCGAGCGUUACUCGGCAUUACUGGGCGUAAAGCGUGCGCAGGCGGUUCGUUGUGUCGGUGGUGAAAUCCCCGGGCUUAACCUGGGAAUGGCCAUGGAAACUGGCGAACUGGAGUGCGGCAGAGGGGGGUGGAAUUCCACGUGUAGCAGUGAAAUGCGUAGAGAUGUGGAGGAAUACCGAUGGCGAAGGCAGCCUCCUGGGCCAACACUGACGCUCAUGCACGAAAGCGUGGGGAGCAAACAGG